GAUGAACGCUGGCGGCGUGCCUAAUACAUGCAAGUCGAGCGAACAGACGAGGAUCUUGCUCCUCUGACGUUAGCGGCGGACGGGUGAGUAACACGUGGAUAACCUACCUAUAAGACUGGGAUAACUUCGGGAAACCGGAGCUAAUACCGGAUAAUAUAUUGAACCGCAUGGUUCAAUAGUGAAAGACGGUUUUGCUGUCACUUCUAGAUGGAUCCGCGCCGCAUUAGCUAGUUGGUAAGGUAACGGCUUACCAAGGCAACGAUGCGUAGCCGACCUGAGAGGGUGAUCGGCCACACUGGAACUGAGACAAGGUCCAGACUCCUACGGGAGGCAGCAGUAGGGAAUCUUCCGCAAUGGGCGAAAGCCUGACGGAGCAACGCCGCGUGAGUGAUGAAGGUCUUCGGAUCGUAAAACUCUGUUAUUAGGGAAGAACAAAUGUGUAAGUAAAUAUGCACGUCUUGACGGUACCUAAUCAGAAAGCCACGGCUAACUACGUG
rnacentral:rRNA from 1 species